AAGUCGUAACAAGGUUUCCGUAGGUGAACCUGCGGAAGGAUCAUUCAUAAUAAGUGUUUUAUGGCACUUUUUAAAUCCAUAUCCACCUUGUGUGCAAUGUCAGUCGAUCUUCUUCAUGGAGAUUGACCAAACAUCAACCUUUAUCUUUUAACUCUUUGUCUGAAAAAUAUUAUGAAUAAACAAUUCAAAAUACAACUUUCAACAACGGAUCUCUUGGCUCUC
rnacentral:misc_RNA from 1 species